GGGGUAAAAUUAAUAAGUUAAAAAUAAUAAAAAGAAUUUUAGAGUUUAAAAUAUUUAAUGGGGGUUAAAGUAUUUUAAUAGAAAAAAUUUAAAUUUUUAUAGUGGAAAGUAUUGUAAGUGAAUUUUGAAAUAUGUGAAAUAUUUAAUUGUUUGUAAAGUAAUUUUUAAUUAGUGUAUCUUGUGUAUCAGAGUUUAUUUAUAAUUAUUUUAGUGUUAAAGUUUCUCGAAUUUAAAUGAGAUAAUUAAUUUAUAAAUUUAUUGUUGUAAAAAUAUUUUAAAUAGUUAAUUGGAAAUGAAAUGUUAUUCGUUUUUAAAUAUAUCUAGUUUUUUUAGAAAAAAAUUUAAUUUUUAUUAUUAAAAUAAAAAAAAUUAUUAAUUUUUUUUUUUAUUUUAAUUAUGUAUAUACUAAGGGAUAAGCUUUAGUUUAAAUUUAUAUAAUUGAUUAUGAAAAUUAGUGAAAUUUUAUAAUUUAUAUUGUUAAUAAAUUUUUAUUUAUUAUAAAUAAUUUUUAUUUAAGAAAAAUUUAUAUUUUAAUUUAUUUUUAUAUAAAAAAAUAGAUUUAAAUUAUAAAAAUAUAGUUAUAUUGAUAAAAUUAGUAUAUAAAAUAUUAGUAUAAAAUUAAGGUAUUUAUUUGAAUUAAUUUUGAGGAAUUCGGCAAAUAUUUAUAUUCACCUGUUUAUCAAAAACAUGUCUUUUUGUUGAUAAUUUAAAGUCUAAUCUGCCCACUGAAAAUUGAUUGAAGGGCUGCAGUAUAUUGACUGUACAAAGGUAGCAUAAUCAUUAGUCAUUUAAAUGAUGACUUGUAUGAAAGAUUGGAUGAAAUAUAUACUGUCUUAAAAUUAAGUAUAAAAUUUAAUUUUUUAAUUAAAAAGUUAAAAUAAUUUAAAAAGACGAGAAGACCCUAUAGAGUUUUAUAGUUGACUUAAUUAUUGUUAUUUAUAUAAAUAUUAAAUAUAAAUUUUUGUUUAAUUAUUUUAUUGGGGUGAUAAAAAAAUAAAUAUAACUUUUUUUAAAUUUAAACAUAGAUACGUGGUUUGUUGAUCCAUUAUUAUUGAUUAAAAGAAAAAAUUACCUUAGGGAUAACAGCGUAAUUUUUUCUUUUAGUUCGAAUAAAAGAGAGAGUUUGCGACCUCGAUGUUGGAUUAAGAUAAAAUUUAGGUGUAGAAGUUUAAAAUUUUGAUCUGUUCGAUCAUUAAAAUCUUACAUGAUCUGAGUUCAAACCGGUGUAAGCCAGGUUGGUUUCUAUCUUUUAUAGUGAGAUAAUAUUUUAGUACGAAAGGAAUGAAUAUUAAAAUUAAAUUUUAUAAGGGGAAUUUUAUUAAGUUUUUUUAAGAUUAUUUUAAGUAAGGGA
rnacentral:rRNA from 1 species